CCUACGGGAGGCAGCAGUGGGGGAUAUUGCACAAUGGGGGAAACCCUGAUGCAGCGACGCCGCGUGGGCGAAGAAGUAUUUCGGUAUGUAAAGCCCUAUCAGCAGGGAGGAAGAAAUGACGGUACCUGAGUAAGAAGCACCGGCUAAAUACGUGCCAGCAGCCGCGGUAAUACGUAUGGUGCAAGCGUUAUCCGGAUUUACUGGGUGUAAAGGGAGCGCAGGCGGCACGGCAAGCCUGAUGUGAAAGCCCGCGGCCCAACCGGGGGACUGCAUUGGGAACUACCGGGCUGGAGUGCCGGAGAGGGAGGCAGAAUUCCUAGUGUAGCAGUGAAAUGCAUAGAUAUGAGGAGGAACACCAGUGGCGAAGGCAGCCUACUGGACGGUGACUGACGCUGAGGCUCGAAAGCGUGGGGAGCAAACAGGAUUAGAUACCCCAGUAGUC
rnacentral:rRNA from 1 species